rnacentral:rRNA from 1 species
AUUGAACGCUGGCGACAUGCUUUACACAUGCAAGUCGAACGGUAACAGGGAGCUCGCUCCGCUGACGAGUGGCGAACGGGUGAGUAAUGCGUCGGAACGUUCCGAGUAGUGGGGGAUAACACAUCGAUAGGUAUCCUAAUACCGCAUACGUACUGAGGUAGAACGUGGGGGACCUUCCGGCCUCUCGCUAUUCGAUACGCCGACGUCUGAUCAGCUAGUUGGUGAGGUAAAGUCUCACAAAGGCGACGAUCAGUAGCGGGUCUGAGAGGAUGUUCCGCCACACUGGGACUGAGACACGGCCCAGACUCCGACUGGAGGCAGCAGUGGGGAAUUUCGGACAAUGGGCGCAAGCCUGAUCCAGCCAUGCCGCGUGUCUGAAGAAGGCCUUCGGGUUGUAAAGGACUUUUGUCCGGGAGCAAAUGCCUGGUGUUAAUAGCAUCGGGAGCUGAGAGUACCGGAAGAAUAAGCACCGGCUAACUACGUGCCAGCAGCCGCAGUAAAAC